UCCUAAUCCUCUGGGAACAGCUCAGUAGAAACAAAAGAUGAAUAAGAGAUACUUACAGAAAGCAACAAAAGGAAAACUGCUAAUAAUAAUAUUUGUUGUAACACUGUGGGGGAAAUUAGCAUCUGGGGCAAAUCAUCAUAAAGCUCACCAUGUUAAAACUGGGACCUGUGAAGUGGUGGCGCUUCACAGAUGCUGCAAUAAGAAUAAGAUAGAAGAAAGAUCACAGACAGUGAAGUGUUCCUGCUUCCCUGGGCAGGUAGCAGGUACCACCCGGGCAGCUCCUUCUUGUGUUGAUGCUUCGAUAGUGGAGCAGAAAUGGUGGUGCCACAUGCAACCAUGUCUUGAAGGGGAGGAAUGUAAAGUUCUUCCAGAUCGUAAGGGAUGGAGCUGUUCCUCUGGGAAUAAAGUGAAAACAACUAGGGCAAACGUGUAAAACUCCUCAAGUCCGAAUGGAGAAGUAGAGAAAGGAGGUUUCUGCUGUGCCUGAUGACAAUUUUUGUUUUUUCCACACACAAAAAAUAUUCUGGCUCCACGAUGGAGCACUAGUUGUGAUGAAUCCUAGUCUUGGUCGGAUUCUAAGGAAGGGCCAGAACGUUCGUUGAGGAAUAAAGAGUCAAACCACUCCAGAAAAUGUGUUCCAGCCCCGGUUUAUUGCUCACAGAGCAGCAGGUAACCCGAUAGCUAAAGACAAAUCAAGCCAGUCUCAAGGCUGAUAACAUUAAAUGCAACACAUAGAAAUUUCAUUCAUCCAGGCAAUCCUUGAAGUGAAAUUUUAUACUGCUGGGGUGUAUCCUUCAGAAUCAAUUGUUUCAAUGAGAACCUGGCUUGCAAUCAGCAACAGCCUUGAGAUCAAAACUACUGGAAAGUUAUUUUGAACUUCUGUGUCACAAAUAUUUCAACUGAUUGAACUGUGUACACUUGUAGAAUUACACUUGCUGAGGAAUUUGCAGCUGUAAUCAUGAGCUAAUAUUCUAAAGGUGCAGAAAAGCAGCAAACUUUUGGGUUCCCCAUUGCAGAACAGCGGCUUUUCAUCUUGAAGUCAAACUCUGAAAUGUAUUGGAUCCUUCACUCUGAAAUGAUCCUUGGUCCACUGUUCAGAUUGCUGGUGGGACUGCACACGGCUUUAAUUAAAUUUCUGUUGCAGAAAUUGUCCUCAAGCAUGGCGCAGUUUUAGACAUUCUUAUUUGUGUUCUAAUCUUGCAGCUCUCAAAGGUACAUAUUUCAACAUCUUGAAGUUGCUUUGUUAUAGGAAUGGAAUUAUAUAUCCAUUGUUAAUAAUUAUUGUUGACAAGUAAUAGUUAUCUGAAUACAUCAGUCAUAUUAGAAUGUAUAGUCAGGUUGACAUGUUUCCCUAAGGCUAACCAACUACUGCAGCUUAACAGUUAAAGAAAGUAGUGGUCAAAACUCAAUUACCACUUCCAUCUUAAGGCAUUUUAUAUAUUUAAUAUAUGCAUUUCGAUUUAGUUUGAAGGAAAUGGGUGUUCCCAAUAUGUACUUUACUUUCCUAACCUUUAAUUCAUUUAAAUUGAUGGUAAGAAGUCAAUUACACUAUUUCAUCCCUUUUUUACAAAGAUAGGCAGGGAUGUAAAUGAGUUUUGCAAUUAUGAUAUUGGAUGGUAAUCAUUCAGAAUUUUUGUCUUUUUAUUAAAAAAUAAAAUCUCUUGCUUGAACCUAAAUACUGAUGGAUGCUUAUGUAGAUGUCUGCUCAGUCUGUUUGCCAUAAAGGAAAAAAGUCUAGUGCUCUCCCAGUUUACACUUCAUGGGUAUUUUGCUUGCAUACAGUCAUCCAAUUCAGAUCUGUUUUGUUAGAAAUUAUUGAACUUUGAAAUGUGUUAUUACAUAAAAAAAAAAAAUCCUCAAUAUUUGAAGGCCUUAAGCAUCUUUGAGCUUUUUUCUAAGUUAUUACAGAAUGUAUAAUUUUAUACUCCAUUUAAUGUAUAUUGGACCAUCUGUAAUGUUGAUACAAAAGAAUUUUGGCAAUUCCUUUUAGUGACACUGCAUAAACACACUGAAUAGAGGGAGUUCUGACUGUAUGCUUCGGUGAAUUGAAAUGAAAGCCACACACACCUAAUGGUUGUCAAAAAUACAUAGAAGUAAGCUUGUUUAAGUCUGUGGUUAUCAAACACAGAAAAACCCCCCAAAAAUAGAAAAAAAAAUUUAAAAAAAAGAAAAAGAAAAAAAGGAAUAGAAAGAAAUGGUUUAAUCAUUACAAGCCAUUGACAUGGCUAGUUUAGUUAUAUAUUAAGUUCUGUGAUGGAUGAACACCCUGGUGAGCUCUGCCUGUCGCUGUAGCCCCUGCUGUUCCAAAACCAUUUCAUUACCUCUGCUGUAUUAUUGCACAGGAGAGCUUAAAUAAAAUAAAUGACUGUUGGGAAUAAAACUGAGAAGUAUAUUCUAUCAUUUUGCUCGGAAAUAAUAAGAAAUAUGUUGUCAGAAAAAGAUCUUAUUUUCUGAUUAAAAUUUAAUUAGAAUAAACCGGUUGUAGUAGAAACUAACUCUCUUGGUAUUUUAGGAUGGAUUAGUAUUAUAUGGAUUUGUGCUAAGAGGUUCAGGAUGGAAGGAACAUCUUAAAGAAGUUGUCUGGGACAGUGCGAAGUGUAAAUGUGCUGUUUUGUAAAAUCUAAAUAUGACCUCUGUUUGGUCGAAAAUCUACAUCAUGCUUCUCAAUACUUGUUUUCUUUGUUUCCUUGUUCUUAAACAGCGCUGAAAAUACUGUAUUAUAUACAAGUGUAACACAUGCAUACCAAUAAAUGAAAAUAAAUGGAUUUUCAAAUAUACUGAAUAGAUUCUCUGCAGUAGAUUAAUGUUGUGACUAUUCAUAGCAAGUGAAUAAAAUUGUAAUAUAAAAUAGAGUUUCCUGUAUGGAUGUGUGCAUUGGAGGUCUGUUUACUCAUGGAACAAAAUAAUUUUUUGGUGAAUAAGAAUCUCAAAGGUUUUAUUAACUUUA